rnacentral:rRNA from 1 species
GAGUUUGAUCCUGGCUCAGAUUGAACGCUGGCGGCAGGCCUAACACAUGCAAGUCGAGCGGCAGCGGGAAGAUAGCUUGCUAUCUUCGCCGACGAGCGGCGGACGGGUGAGUAAUACCUGGGGAUCUGCCCAAUCGAGGGGGAUAACAGUUGGAAACGACUGCUAAUACCGCAUACGCCCUACGGGGGAAAGGAGGGGACCUUCGGGCCUUCCGCGAUUGGAUGAACCCAGGCGGGAUUAGCUAGUAGGUGAGGUAAUGGCUCACCUAGGCGACGAUCCCUAGCUGUUCUGAGAGGAUGGACAGCCACACUGGAACUGAGACACGGUCCAGACUCCUACGGGAGGCAGCAGUGGGGAAUAUUGGACAAUGGGGGAAACCCUGAUCCAGCCAUGCCGCGUGUGUGAAGAAGGCCUUCGGGUUGUAAAGCACUUUCAGUGGGGAGGAAAGGUUGAUGGUUAAUACCUAUCAGCUGUGACGUUACCCACAGAAGAAGCACCGGCUAACUCCGUGCCAGCAGCCGCGGUAAUACGGAGGGUGCAAGCGUUAAUCGGAAUUACUGGGCGUAAAGCGUGCGCAGGCGGUCUGUUAAGCGAGAUGUGAAAG